CAGUUGCUGUGCACACAGCAUGCAGGAACCAAGCCCCAGGCACAUUUCCCGCCAGAUGUUUCGCAAGGGCCAACUUCCUUCCUGCCGUGUCCGGGCACCACGUCCCCAGCGGGCACAGGGCGCCUGCACGUGUAGCCGUGUGCCAGGCGUGACAUUUCAUGGCUGAAACUGACAGGAUCCUUCCUGGAAUUCCCGGGCCCAAGACUCCUGCAGGGAGCUGUGACAAAUACUCGGGUGGUGGGGGCUGGCGCUGUGGCGUAGUGCGCUGGCAUCCCAUAUGGGCACAGCUUCCUGGUCCAGAGCUGCUCUUCCGACCCCGCCCCCUGCCAUGGCCGGGGAAGCAGUGGAAGGUGACCCCAGUGCUUGGGCCCUGCCCCAGAAGCAGCUCCAGGCUCCUGGCUUUGGAUCGGCCCAGCUCCGGCCGUUGCAGCCAUUUAGGGGGUGAACCAGCGGAUGGAAGACCUUCCUCUCUGCCUCUCUCUAACUCUGCCUUCCAAACACAUCUUUAACAAAACAGAUUCAGAUGGUGGAGAACCCUCCUACGGUUUUGUAGGUUGCUGUGUCGGAGAAAGAGGGGCCUGGAUCCACAAGAACAGGGCCAUCUGGAUUUUGGCAGCAUCAUUCCGGGCCCUACCUGAUUAUCAGCCUGCUGCAGACUCACUGGAAUUUGAAUCUUGACCCCACGUGGAGGCCGUGGCAGGGCCCGACCACGGGACUUCCUGGUCUCCCGUGGCCUGUGGGCCAGGCGCUCCCCGCCCUGGAUGACCUGGAUCGCUGAGGCCCCCAUGGAGGGUUUUCUCUAUGGCGUGUGUGUUGUGCCCCUGUACUCACCUCUUUCUCUCGCUCCACCUGGCCUGAUUCCUGGGGUGCACUCACGAACCCUGCGUUCCUGCACCCCUCGAGGUCUCCACGUGCAUCCUUCCGUGCAUCAGGGGAGGAAGCAGCCGUGAGUCCAGUCCGGGGACCCUGCUGCCUGCCCUGCACGGAGCCGCCCGUGAGGGGGCUGCCAGCACCCCCACUGUUCACGUGGGCCCUGGGCGUGGCUGUGGUUGGGUUUGCUAUGGGGGCGGGGACACGCGUGUGGGGGCUGCAUCACCAGCAACGAGGGGCAGAGACACUGGUGUCUCCGCUGGGGUGGAGCUGUCUGGCGGGGUUCACGGGUGAAGCAGGUGUGAGUGAGGGGCCCCUGCCUGCCUUGCUCCACGCAGGGGUCCACGGGGCCCCCGAGGAGGGGACCCUGGGCGGUGCUGCUAUGACAGCCACGGACUCAGAGGGUGUGGCGUGUGGUUUGGUUUCUCCCAGCCCCCUCCCUCUGACCUCCUCAGCGCCUCCUCCUCCUCCCUCCAUCGCCACCUCCCAGUCUUUUCUGCCCCUCAGUGCCUCUCCUGCCCUGCCCACGGCUCUGCUCUGGCUCCCUGGGCUCCUUCUCCAGGUCUGGGUGAUAACGUUCGAGAGGGACACACAGGUUUGCAGCUGGCCGUGGGGGUGACGUUCCCAACCGCGAGCCUGAACAGGUGCAGGCCCUCCCCGGUGUCUUCAACACAAGGAGGCUGUGAUUGUAGGACACAGAGCUCCCGGGGCUCAGUGAGUCACCAGCACUUUGGUUUUUUUAAGAUUUAUUUAUUUACUUGAAAGUCAGAGCUACACAGAGAGAGGAGAGGUGGAGAGAGGAGAGAGAGAGAGAGAGAGAGAGAGAGAGAGAGGUCUUCCAUCUGCUGGUUCACUCCCCACAUGGCUGCAAUGGCUGGAGCUGUGCUGACUUGGAGCCAGGAGCCAGGAGCUUCCUCCAGGCCUGCCCUGCAGGUGCAGGGGCCCAAGCACUUGGGCCAUCUUCCACUGCUUUCCCAGGCCACAGCAGAGAGCUGGAUCGGAAGUAGAGCAGCUGGGUCUCCAGAGCCCACACGGGAUGCCGGCACUGCGGGCUGCAGCUUUACCCACUAUGCCACAGCGCCAGCCCCUGUGCCCAGCAAGGUUGUCCAUCAGGGAUACACAAGCGAUAAAGGGUUUCCCGGGUGAAAGCGAGGGAGCGAGCACAUCACACUAGACCUGGCCUGCGCGGGGAGUGAGCGGGAGUCGGGGCAGCAGGACGAGAGCGCUGGCUGGGGCUGGUGCGCAGGUUAGGCUGCCGCUUCCACUGGCGGCGGCCCUCGUCACUUCCACUGGCGGCGGCCCUCGUCACUUCCACUGGCGGCGGCCCACGUCACUUCCACGGGCGGCGGCCCACGUCACUUCCACUGGCGGCGGCCCACGUCAGAGGGCCGGUUUGAGUCUCCGUGCAACGGGACCGAAUACAUCCAUGUUUUCCUUGCCGCAUCCUGAGGCUCGCUGAUGCUGAUGUGUAUAAACAGAGAAGGCCUGCUUGGGACUCCAGGAUCCGGCCUGCAGAGAGCCGGCUGCAGAAGCUGCGGGAUCUGGCCAUAGCUCCCGGUCAGUGAGGCUGCGGUCCCAACGUGUCGGAACAAAACGCAAAGGGCCAAGCCCACAAGCAAGAUUCCUGGCAGCUGCGCUGGCGCCUGAGACGGCCCUGUGGUCAGCCCCAGCCCAGCCACGCAGGAAGGCAUCAGUAAGACGUCAGUCUCCCGUCGCCCUCAUCUGAUGACAGAUUAAACUCUUCUUCCUUUACC